rnacentral:rRNA from 1 species
AGCAGCCGCGGUAAUUCCAGCUCCAAUAGCGUAUAUUAAAGUUGUUGCAGUUAAAAAGCUCGUAGUUGAACCUCGGGAUCAAUGGAUCGGUCAUGCCAUCGGUAUGUACUGGUCUCAUUGGUUCUCACCUUCUAAGGAACCAUGAUGUCAUUCAGUUGAUGUUGUGGGGAAUUAGGACUGUUACCUUGAAAAAUUAGAGUGUUUAAAGCAGGCUAACGCUUGAAUACAUUAGCAUGGAAUAAUGAAAUAGGACAUCGCAUUCUAUUUUGUUGGUUUCUAGGAUCGAUGUAAUGAUUAAUAGGGAUAGUUGGGGGCAUUAGUAUUCAAUUGUCAGAGUGAAAUUCUUGGAUUUAUUGAAGACUAACUACUGCGAAAGCAUUUGCCAAGGAUGCUUUCAUUAAUCAGGAACGAAAGUUAGGGGAUCGAAGACGAUCAGAUACCGUCGUAGUCUUAACCAAUAAACUAUGCCGACUAGGGAUCGGAUGAUGUUAAUUUUUAA